UACGAAGGGGACUAGCGUUGUUCGGAAUUACUGGGCGUAAAGCGCACGUAGGCGGAUUUGUAAGUCAGGGGUGAAAUCCCGGGGCUCAACCUCGGAACUGCCUUUGAUACUGCAAAUCUCGAGUCCGAUAGAGGUGGGUGGAAUUCCUAGUGUAGAGGUGAAAUUCGUAGAUAUUAGGAAGAACACCGGUGGCGAAGGCGGCUAACUGGUCCAGAUCUGACGCCGAGGUGCGAAAGCGUGGGGAGCAAACAGG
rnacentral:rRNA from 1 species